UGGGCUUGACAUGCACGGGAAAGCCUCUGGAAACAGAGGCCCCUCUUCGGAGCUCGUGCACAGGUGCUGCAUGGCUGUCGUCAGCUCGUGUCGUGAGAUGUUGGGUUAAGUCCCGCAACGAGCGCAACCCUUGCCCUUAGUUACCAGCGAGUUAUGUCGGGGACUCUAGGGGGACUGCCGGUGCCAAACCGGAGGAAGGUGGGGAUGACGUAUCCUUCCAUCACA
rnacentral:misc_RNA from 1 species